GUGAUUUAAAUACUUGGUUUCAGUGCUCGCAAGAGUCUGGCCAGGUCCCUUCACAUCCACAUACACCCUGUGCUCUUGUUCUAUCUGCAGCUUAAUUGCGAAUGGUAGAGCAACCCCCUUUUUUAUAAACUCAGUUAAAUGAAUGUAAACAAGUUUUUUAUAUAAACAUAAUA
rnacentral:misc_RNA from 1 species